rnacentral:rRNA from 1 species
GUCGAGCGGGCGUAGCAAUACGUCAGCGGCAGACGGGUGAGUAACGCGUGGGAACGUACCUUUUGGUUCGGAACAACACAGGGAAACUUGUGCUAAUACCGGAUAAGCCCUUACGGGGAAAGAUUUAUCGCCGAAAGAUCGGCCCGCGUCUGAUUAGCUAGUUGGUGAGGUAAUGGCUCACCAAGGCGACGAUCAGUAGCUGGUCUGAGAGGAUGAUCAGCCACAUUGGGACUGAGACACGGCCCAAACUCCUACGGGAGGCAGCAGUGGGGAAUAUUGGACAAUGGGGGCAACCCUGAUCCAGCCAUGCCGCGUGAGUGAUGAAGGCCCUAGGGUUGUAAAGCUCUUUUGUGCGGGAAGAUAAUGACGGUACCGCAAGAAUAAGCCCCGGCUAACUUCGUGCCAGCAGCCGCGGUAAUACGAAGGGGGCUAGCGUUGCUCGGAAUCACUGGGCGUAAAGGGUGCGUAGGCGGGUCUUUAAGUCAGGGGUGAAAUCCUGGAGCUCAACUCCAGAACUGCCUUUGAUACUGAGGAUCUUGAGUUCGGGAGAGGUGAGUGGAACUGCGAGUGUAGAGGUGAAAUUCGUAGAUAUUCGCAAGAACACCAGUGGCGAAGGCGGCUCACUGG